CUUCCUCUACCUUUCUAUCCAAACAAUUUCUCUGGUUCAAGUUAGCUUCCGGAACUUGUGGGCUCAAGCUAUUGAGCAUAUGGGUAUGGUGUAGUUUAAGAGGGUGUUUAUGCAUUGAACUUGAAUUUGGAUUACUUGGAGCUUUGUUGGUGACAAGGCUUGCUUUGGGGCUGUUUGAUUGAGCUUGGAGGGGCUGUGAUUUUAUGUUGAGAAGCUUCCUUGGGUGAAUUAAGUGAUCGGCCAAGGUAUGGUUUAAGUUUCGCACGUUUAAUAUUUACGGUGUUGUGAAAACUUAGGUUAGAGGAACCAUAGAAUAAGUUGGAUUGUUUGUUGUAUUUAAUGAUUAGCCUUGUAAUGUUGUUAGAAUAUAUUUGUUAGUGAAUUUAUAUAUUAGAAUUAUGAGGUGUGAAAGCUAUUAAUGGUGUGCUCUUAUAUUUAUUUAUGAUGGAUUAGAAUUGGUGUUUGUUAAUAAGGAUGUAGAGUUGUGUUGUGGUGGUAUUGUAUAUGCUGUAACUAAUUAUGUAAUGAUCGGAAUUGCAUGAGACCAAGUUUGGGAUAAACUUGGGAAUAUAAGGAACUAAACUGAAAAAUUUGGGACCUUUUUGUUAAAUAUACAAUUU